UAGAGUUUGAUCCUGGCUCAGAUUGAACGCUGGCGGCAGGCCUAACACAUGCAAGUCGAGCGGCAGCACAAGUGAGUUUACUCAUGAGGUGGCGAGCGGCGGACGGGUGAGUAAUGCCUAGGGAUCUGCCCAGUCGAGGGGGAUAACAGUUGGAAACGACUGCUAAUACCGCAUACGCCCUACGGGGGAAAGAGGGGGGCUUUCGGGCCUCUCGCGAUUGGAUGAACCUAGGUGGGAUUAGCUAGUUGGUGAGGUAAUGGCUCACCAAGGCGACGAUCCCUAGCUGUUCUGAGAGGAUGAUCAGCCACACUGGGACUGAGACACGGCCCAGACUCCUACGGGAGGCAGCAGUGGGGAAUAUUGCACAAUGGGGGAAACCCUGAUCCAGCCAUGCCGCGUGUGUGAAGAAGGCCUUCGGGUUGUAAAGCACUUUUCAGUAGGGAGGAAAGGGUAAGUCCUAAUACGACUUAUCUGUGACGUUACCUACAGAAGAAGGACCGGCUAACUCCGUGCCAGCAGCCGCGGUAAUACGGAGGGUCCGAGCGUUAAUCGUAAUUACUGGGCGUAAAGCGUGCGCAGGCGGUUUGUUAAGCGAGAUGUGAAAGCCCUGGGCUCAACCUAAGAAAUCGCAUUUCGACUGACCAACUAGAGUUCUUGUAGAGGGGGUAGAAUUCCAGGUGUAGCGUGAAAUGCGUAGAGAUCUAGAUGAAUACGGUGGCGAUGCGGCCCCUGUACAAAUACUGACUCUCAUGGCCUAAGCGUGGAGAGCAACAGGAUUAGAUAGCCUCGUAGUCACGCGUAAUCGAUGUCUACUCGACUAUGUGUCUGCAACCUGGCUUCAGCUAACGCAUCAGUAACGCUGGAGUACGGCGCAAGGCUAAACCU
rnacentral:rRNA from 1 species